AAGCGGUGGAGCAUGUGGUUUAAUUCGACGCAACGCGAAGAACCUUACCAGGGCUUGACAUCCCCUGACCGCGUAUGAAGUACGUUUCACCUCGGGUGACAGGGAGACAGGUGGUGCAUGGUUGUCGUCAGCUCGUGCCGUGAGGUGUCGGGUUAAGUCCCAUAACGAGCGCAACCCUUAUCGUUAGUUGCCAUCUGGUAAUGCAGGGGACUCUAGCGAAACUGCCACCGUAAGGUGAGAGGAAGGUGGGGAUGACGUCAAAUCAGCACGGCCCUUAUGUCCAGGGCUACACACGUGCUACAAUGGGCGGUACAAAGGGCUGCGAACCCGCGAGGUGGAGCUAAUCUCAUAAAGCCGGUCUCAGUUCGGAUUGGAGUCUGCAACUCGACUCCAUGAAGUUGGAAUCGCUAGUAAUCGCGGAUCAGCAUGCCGCGGUGAAUACGUUCCCGGGCCUU
rnacentral:rRNA from 1 species